rnacentral:lncRNA from 1 species
UAAAAGGAAAAAAGAAAAAGAUAAGAAGUGACAUUGCUAAUACCGUGUAUUUCUCUGCAAAUUUUUCUUUUGCAAAAAAUGUAAAAUGUUUCUAACAUCACUGAUUCCAACGGAGUUCUUCUAACAAAUUAGAACUCCCCAUCACCAACUACUGCAAUCAAAAACUACAUAUCUUCUCUGAAAGGUAUAAAAUAUGGGCGGAAGAAAAGAAACACAUCGAUAAUGACACCCCUAAAAGAAUUGUUUUU